UCCUGCACCACUCUCUCUCUUGCCACUUGCUCAUUUCUUUUUAAGAUUUCAUUUUCUAAUCUAACAACACAUAAAUCUGGAGUAUACUUUCAGUCUACACCAAGAAAUAGCAUCCUCAAGGAGAUUUGUCACUCUAAAAGGGAGUAAUUUAAUCUUGAACACUGAGAUGUAAAUCUCACCGUGGUGGUCUACCUGUAGUUCGUUAUUUACCAGUAAUGAAAUCAUAGUUUAUGGCAGGGACACUAAACCCCACUCUAGAGGAAGAGGCUGUCAACAAGAAUGCUCAAGAUGAAUUAGGUGCCUCUUAUGUACUUGUAUAAUAGUGUUGUGUAAUAACAAAACAACAUUAGCUAGUGUUUGUAUUUAACAACCAUUGUAUAAUUAUUUUUUAAGUCAAUGAGCUCAUGAGAAAGUGUGACAAGGGUAGUCUUGUAACCUUGUAUUGUAGAUGUUGUAUAUAUUUGAUGGUGCUUA